CUUGAUCGACCCCAGCCACAGCGGCCGGUCGCGGCGGUGUUGCCCGUAGGUGGCCAGCAGUGCCUGCGCCUC
rnacentral:antisense_RNA from 1 species